rnacentral:rRNA from 1 species
UACGGGGGGUGCAAGCGUUGCUCGGAAUUAUUGGGCGUAAAGCGUACGCAGGCUGCUCAUCAAGUCGAGUGUGAAAUCCCGGGGCUCAACCCCGGACUUGCAUUCGAAACUGGUGGGCUUGAGUGCGGGAGAGGGAAGCGGAAUUCCUGGUGUAGAGGUGAAAUUCGUAGAUAUCAGGAGGAACACCGGUGGCGAAAGCGGCUUCCUGGCCCGAUACUGACGCUCAUGUACGAAAGCGUGGGGAGCAAACAGG